GAAAUCUUGAAAUCUUGAAAUCCUGAAAUCUUGAAAUCUUGAAGUCAAGAAAUCUAGAAAUCUUGAAAUCUUGAAAUCUUGAAAUCUAGAAAUCUUGAAAUCUUCAGGUCUUGGGGUCGAGCCCCCGCCACACCGUUGAAAUAACACCGCGUGUGUUGACUCAACUGUCAUCCUUCCGAGGUCGGCAAAAUGAGCACCAUCUUACCGGUAACAGGGGCACUGCAUCAAUGGCACAGUCGCGCUUCCAUAGAAUGAUGCAACCAGCAGCGACAGGCUGCAAACGAAACGACGACAGUACUUGGAUGAAGAGCCGUGACCGAAAGGUUUGGGUUUUUAAUUUACCUGUUGUUGUGACGUUUUGACCUUUACCUGACCUUUCAAUUCACUGACAUUGUUUUUAUUCAUAUCGACAUUAAAGAUCAUUCCCCCGUGUGAUUCACCGUGUAUAAGAGAAGUAGAUCACACGGAUGUUGUGUGAAACAGCUCCACAAGAUCCCCUCUGACUCCGAGGCGCCGCGACGUCGCCUGAACAGGUUUCGGCGGGAAAUCCUGAGGUAACACGGAGGAGUGCUUCAGACAAAACUUCAGUUUCUCCAGUUUAGUUUUCACCUCUUGGGAGGCUUCGAAUUACCACAGGUACGAGGAGAACGUCGAGAAGGAGGAUCGUUGAUGGGCGGUGGCAAAAGGAAUCUGAAGAGAACAUAUCGAUUUGGAAGCUUCAGAAAUGUCGGAGGACCAAGCGGGAAAAGGAGAUAUCCGGAAGAUGCUGGGUGUCAUUCUGCCGCGACGAAAGAGCACCAGCAACAGGCAGGGCAAAGCAGAUGGGCUGAAGCCACAUGGAAAGACAUUGGAGAGACAACAGUCAGUAUUUGAGGAAGAAUGGACAGAGGUGCAUGAGGAAAUAACCCGUGUGGAAGAAGAGAAACAUGGGUUUCGUGUUCGCAUCAGAAAGCUGAUUGGCUGGAAGUGGCGCACAACCCAUUCAUUGGAACAACUGCAAAUUCAAACUCUCUCCGAGGAGAAUUUGAGUGCAUUGCAAAAGGAGAUAGACCGAGUUGAGGGGCAAAAACAUGGCUUCCGCAGCAGUUUCAGGUCCUCUCUUCGCAGGAAGAAUAAAAAUUUUUCUGCAACCCUACCUCCACGGAGCCACAACAAAUCUUCUUGUGAAGCCACAACAAAGCAUACAAUCGUUUUGCCCAGCCCCUCUUCCGGCAGUCACUCCAAUACACCCACCGCCAAGAUUGUUCGUUGCACUCCUCAAUCGCCAACUUCCUCUGAAGAAGGAAGAAGAGACUGGAGUUAUCCAAAGAGACUGGAGGAAGAGACAGGAGAUGGAGAAAAUUACAAAGAGGAAAAGAAAAAAAGAAAACCAUCAUUUCUAAAACGAGUGUUUUCUAAGAAGGAGAAAGAUCAUAAAGGUGUUUCUUUAAAAGAUUCCAAAUUGAAUACAGAGUCGUUACAUGCUGUGACAGACGUCGAUGAGAAUCUGGAGAAAAAUGCAGCAGCAGAUUUUCUGGAUGGCAUCACGUUCAAAAUGGAGAAGAAGCAUCAGUCAGGCUUUAAAUUUGUGCAUCAUCGGAUGACGUGCGAUGACGUUUCAUUGAAGAAUGCUUCAAGUAAAAAUAACUUGAUGGAUAUCAGCAAAAGUGAAGAAUCUGAGUGUGAUCAAUUUCGAGAUACGAAGAGUAGUAUUCAGGAAAUUGUACAACUCCUGGAGGAACAGGCACAGGAAUUCAAUGAGAGGCUUCCACGCCACACUUUCAGCGUUGCAUCAUUGCAGAAUUUUGCGGCUAUUGUAUCAAGUGCUCUUUCUACCGAAUCCCUUCCACUUGCCAAGAUCACACAAAAUGGUCUCGAGCAUUCUCCUGUUCGUACUUCAUUUGCCAGCAGGCGCAGGGGGAGCUUGCCAUUUUUUCCACAUCCAUCCUCUUCUCACCUCCUGGUGCCAUCGAAAUCGCCUCUAAUCACGAGUGUUCUUCCGAGGGAAUUGAGCUCGGCCUCCAUAAAUGUGUCCCAGGAUAACAGUUGCAUUUUCACCUUCGAAAGCGACGUAGACUGAAAACCCGAUUUAAAUAACCUCGAUGUCUGGAAACUCGAUACACCCCUUGGGAAAAAUGGUCCUUCCUUUUAACUGGAUGCAUGCAUUGGAUAAUGGGGUUUUCUUUUUCUCUGCAAGAUCGAGGCUCGUGUAAGAUGAGGACCAUGGUAUUUGUCAGAUUUUUUUUUUUGCAGUUGCAAGAAAUAAUAUGGGGUUAAAAUUGCUAAAAAUGUUCACCCCUUUAUCAAAUACUCUCAUCAUCUGUGAGCAUUUGAUUGAAGAUUCCAGAGUACCUUUCUGGGGGAGGGUGCGGAUGGGCCGUUGUAUAGGAGUACUGUGGCCCAAUUCUAAAGUUAGUUUGUUUUUGGCGAGGUGAAAUUUGAUCCAUGUAUGUGGCUCAGGAUUGGAAGCUUUGGAGACUAAGGAUCCACGGAGGUUGCAGCACCAAACCAGCGAGUGUGGAAUGAAUGAUUGGAUGAAUCAUGGAAUUAUCACUGUUUCAUGUCUAAACUACCCUCCCCCAUUGAUGCAAAGUUGACUUCUCAUGUGACUUUUUGAUCAUUUAUACUAAGUAUAACAGAGUUCUGUGAUUAUAGAACACUCAUUAUAACAAAUGCUGCUGUUACGAAACCACCUUUGGUGAACAAUUCCAUUUUGACAAACUGAUUCAGAAUCUUCUAUGGGCAAUUAAUUGUAGAUAUUUUUUUUUUUUAAUUUUUAGCUCAAUAAAUUAUCAGGUUCUGUUGAGCCACAAUGGAGACGUUAAGUAAACCACUGCUGUGACCAGGUUAAGUGCUGAUAUGGUUAACUGGGAAGUGCCCUUCAAACCAUAUUAGGUUAAAUGUGAUUUAUAUCUUUGAUGUUUUUUAUUAUAUAUAUUUUUUGGAAUGAUGCAACAAUGAUGUUGAGCUUACAUGCACUGAAAUUUGGGAGACCUUUGGAGGGGGUAGGGGAGAGGCUGGGCCUCAUAUUGGAACCUCCCCUAUAAUGCACCCUUCUUCCUCGGCUCCCAUAUUCCCUAAUUGCAACCUUCCCACGUUUAAUUUCUCAGGUUGGAAAAUUCUUACGUUUAGCCAUAUUGAAGGAUCAGAGUUUUUAAUCCUUCUGGACAAGACCUGUGAAAGUUGUGUGAAUAUUUAAUGUUCUUUUCUCAUGAUGUUGCUGAAGUAGUACACUAACUUUGAGCUGUCUUGUCUGGGUUUGAUCCCCGACCCGACUAAGUACUUUUGGAUCGGUGCCUCACAGGGUCGGGGAUUCCAUCAUGAAGUGUACCUUCACUUGGCCAGACGUUAAGCUGGGUGUCCUGUCUGCUGACAUUGAUGGAUGUUAAAGACCCCAUGAUGUUUUGCAUUAAAGUAUCUGACGAAUGGAUAAUGUCUCGCAUCAAAGUACCCACACUUGCUCUGUUUCUCCAUAUGGGGGGGGGGG
ensembl:lincRNA